rnacentral:rRNA from 1 species
AACGAACGCUGGCGGCAUGCCUAACACAUGCAAGUCGAACGAGACCUUCGGGUCUAGUGGCGCACGGGUGCGUAACGCGUGGGAACCUGCCCUUAGGUUCGGAAUAACUCCCUGAAAGGGGUGCUAAUACCGGAUAAUGUCUUCGGACCAAAGAUUUAUCGCCUUUGGAUGGGCCCGCGUUGGAUUAGCUAGUUGGUAGGGUAAAAGCCUACCAAGGCGACGAUCCAUAGCUGGUCUGAGAGGAUGAUCAGCCACACUGGGACUGAGACACGGCCCAGACUCCUACGGGAGGCAGCAGUGGGGAAUAUUGGACAAUGGGCGAAAGCCUGAUCCAGCAAUGCCGCGUGAGUGAUGAAGGCCUUAGGGUUGUAAAGCUCUUUUACCCGGGAUGAUAAUGACAGUACCGGGAGAAUAAACUCCGGCUAACUCCGU